rnacentral:rRNA from 1 species
AUUGAACGCUGGCGGCAGGCCUAACACAUGCCAGUCGAGCGGAUGAAGGGAGCUUGCUCCUGGAUUCAGCGGCGGACGGGUGAGUAAUGCCUAGGAAUCUGCCUGGUAGUGGGGGAUAACGUCCGGAAACGGGCGCUAAUACCGCAUACGUCCUGAGGGAGAAAGUGGGGGAUCUUCGGACCUCACGCUAUCAGAUGAGCCUAGGUCGGAUUAGCUAGUUGGUGGGGUAAAGGCCUACCAAGGCGACGAUCCGUAACUGGUCUGAGAGGAUGAUCAAUCACACUGGAACUGAGACACGGUCCAGACUCCUACGGGAGGCAGCAGUGGGGAAUAUUGGACAAUGGGCGAAAGCCUGAUCCAGCCAUGCCGCGUGUGUGAAGAAGGUCUUCGGAUUGUAAAGCACUUUAAGUUGGGAGGAAGGGCAGUAAGUUAAUACCUUGCUGUUUUGACGGUACCAACAGAAUAAGCACCGGCUAACUUCGUG